rfam:Rhizobium sp. Root149 contig_5, whole genome shotgun sequence.
CGCAUUCACCAGGGGUGUCCCGCAAGGGGCUGAGAUUCCGCUGGGCUUGGCUUUUAGAGGCCAAGCAGCGCGGUGACCCGUUGAACCUGAUCCAGUUCAUACUGGCGUAGGGACGGUGCACGCGCGAUUUC